UUAAGCGACUAAGCGUACACGGUGGAUGCCCUGGCAGUCAGAGGCGAUGAAGGACGUGCUAAUCUGCGAAAAGCGUCGGUAAGGUGAUAUGAACCGUUAUAACCGGCGAUGUCCGAAUGGGGAAACCCAGUGCAAUUCGUUGCACUAUCGUUAACUGAAUACAUAGGUUAACGAGGCGAACCGGGGGAACUGAAACAUCUAAGUACCCCGAGGAAAAGAAAUCAACCGAGAUUCCCCCAGUAGCGGCGAGCGAACGGGGAGCAGCCCAGAGUCUGAAUCAGCUUGUGUGUUAGUGGAACGGUCUGGAAAGUCCGACGGUACAGGGUGAUAGUCCCGUACACCAAAAUGCACAGGUUGUGAACUCGAAGAGUAGGGCGGGACACGUGGUAUCCUGUCUGAAUAUGGGGGGACCAUCCUCCAAGGCUAAAUACUCCUGACUGACCGAUAGUGAACCAGUACCGUGAGGGAAAGGCGAAAAGAACCCCGGCGAGGGGAGUGAAAAAGAACCUGAAACCGUGUACGUACAAGCAGUGGGAGCACCUUCGGGUGUGACUGCGUACCUUUUGUAUAAUGGGUCAGCGACUUAUAUUCUGUAGCAAGGUUAACCGUAUAGGGGAGCCGCAGGGAAACCGAGUCUUAACUGGGCGUUAAGUUGCAGGGUAUAGACCCGAAACCCGGUGAUCUAGCCAUGGGCAGGUUGAAGGUUGGGUAACACUAACUGGAGGACCGAACCGACUAAUGUUGAAAAAUUAGCGGAUGACUUGUGGCUGGGGGUGAAAGGCCAAUCAAACCGGGAGAUAGCUGGUUCUCCCCGAAAGCUAUUUAGGUAGCGCCUCGUGAAUUCAUCUUCGGGGGUAGAGCACUGUUUCGGCUAGGGGGUCAUCCCGACUUACCAACCCGAUGCAAACUACGAAUACCGAAGAAUGUUAUCACGGGAGACACACGGCGGGUGCUAACGUCCGUCGUGAAGAGGGAAACAACCCAGACCGCCAGCUAAGGUCCCAAAGUCAUGGUUAAGUGGGAAACGAUGUGGGAAGGCACAGACAGCCAGGAUGUUGGCUUAGAAGCAGCCAUCAUUUAAAGAAAGCGUAAUAGCUCACUGGUCGAGUCGGCCUGCGCGGAAGAUGUAACGGGGCUAAACCAUGCACCGAAGCUGCGGCAGCGACACUAUGUGUUGUUGGGUAGGGGAGCGUUCUGUAAGCCUGCGAAGGUGNUGCUGGAGGUAUCAGAAGUGCGAAUGCUGACAUAAGUAACGAUAAAGCGGGUGAAAAGCCCGCUCGCCGGAAGACCAAGGGUUCCUGUCCAACGUUAAUCGGGGCAGGGUGAGUCGACCCCUAAGGCGAGGCCGAAAGGCGUAGUCGAUGGGAAACAGGUUAAUAUUCCUGUACUUGGUGUUACUGCGAAGGGGGGACGGAGAAGGCUAUGUUAGCCGGGCGACGGUUGUCCCGGUUUAAGCAUGUAGGCUGGUUAUCCAGGCAAAUCCGGAUAAUCAAGGCUGAGGUGUGAUGACGAGGCACUACGGUGCUGAAGUAACAAAUGCCCUGCUUCCAGGAAAAGCCUCUAAGCAUCAGGUAACAUCAAAUCGUACCCCAAACCGACACAGGUGGUCAGGUAGAGAAUACCAAGGCGCUUGAGAGAACUCGGGUGAAGGAACUAGGCAAAAUGGUGCCGUAACUUCGGGAGAAGGCACGCUGGUGUGUAGGUGAAGUCCCUGCGGAUGGAGCUGAGACCAGUCGAAGAUACCAGCUGGCUGCAACUGUUUAUUAAAAACACAGCACUGUGCAAACACGAAAGUGGACGUAUACGGUGUGACGCCUGCCCGGUGCCGGAAGGUUAAUUGAUGGGGUUAUCCGUAAGGAGAAGCUCUUGAUCGAAGCCCCGGUAAACGGCGGCCGUAACUAUAACGGUCCUAAGGUAGCGAAAUUCCUUGUCGGGUAAGUUCCGACCUGCACGAAUGGCGUAAUGAUGGCCAGGCUGUCUCCACCCGAGACUCAGUGAAAUUGAACUCGCUGUGAAGAUGCAGUGUACCCGCGGCAAGACGGAAAGACCCCGUGAACCUUUACUAUAGCUUGACACUGAACAUUGAGCCUUGAUGUGUAGGAUAGGUGGGAGGCUUUGAAGCGUGGACGCCAGUCUGCGUGGAGCCAACCUUGAAAUACCACCCUUUAAUGUUUGAUGUUCUAACGUUGGCCCCUUACCGGGGUUGCGGACAGUGUCUGGUGGGUAGUUUGACUGGGGCGGUCUCCUCCCAAAGCGUAACGGAGGAGCACGAAGGUUAGCUAAUCCUGGUCGGACAUCAGGAGGUUAGUGCAAUGGCAUAAGCUAGCUUGACUGCGAGCGUGACGGCGCGAGCAGGUGCGAAAGCAGGUCAUAGUGAUCCGGUGGUUCUGAAUGGAAGGGCCAUCGCUCAACGGAUAAAAGGUACUCCGGGGAUAACAGGCUGAUACCGCCCAAGAGUUCAUAUCGACGGCGGUGUUUGGCACCUCGAUGUCGGCUCAUCACAUCCUGGGGCUGAAGUAGGUCCCAAGGGUAUGGCUGUUCGCCAUUUAAAGUGGUACGCGAGCUGGGUUUAGAACGUCGUGAGACAGUUCGGUCCCUAUCUGCCGUGGGCGCUGGAGAAUUGAGGGGGGCUGCUCCUAGUACGAGAGGACCGGAGUGGACGCAUCACUGGUGUUCGGGUUGUCAUGCCAAUGGCACUGCCCGGUAGCUAAAUGCGGAAGAGAUAAGUGCUGAAAGCAUCUAAGCACGAAACUUGCCCCGAGAUGAGUUCUCCCUGAGACUUUAAGUCUCCUGAAGGAACGUUGAAGACGACGACGUUGAUAGGCCGGGUGUGUAAGCGCAGCGAUGCGUUGAGCUAACCGGUACUAAUGAACCGUGAGGCUUAACCUU
rnacentral:rRNA from 1 species